rnacentral:lncRNA from 1 species
CGGGUCUAAUCCCAGCCUCAGAGGAGCUGGGAGAAAUGGUGCUAAAGCCGCUUGGCGUGGCUCUGCUGCAUGGCCUGAGCACUGCAAGUGGUGUUUGUUAUAGGUAUAUAGUGGUUGCAGAGGCAGGACUGGACGUUACCCCUUAGCAAACAUCCACGUUGCUGCUCUGAGGUCAGCUGAGUUUGUGCUGCCAAGAGCCUUGGAAACGAAAGAAGGUUUCAGUAUGAGGCAUCCAGGCCCUGCUGCAGGCAGGCAUUCAGCCUGUGGGAAAAGUGAACACAAGCUCUGUUGUGUUGUUUGUUUUGUUUUAGAGCUGGCUGCUCUGCUAAGGAAGGGGUAAAUCCUUGUUGCCAGCACUUCAAUCACAGUUUGUAUCUCUGUGGCUGCAUCCUAAAAUGGUUUAAAUGGAAAUGCUGUAAAUGUGAAAUGAUGGACUGGAUGAGGAGCUAUGGAGAAACGGUUUAGUAGCCUGUGGUAGCAAUGGUAAUGGGAGGAUGGCUGGACUUGAUGAUCUUGUAGGUCCUUUCCAACCCUGUGAUUCUAUGAUUCUAUGACUGAAGGAGCCUUCCCUGAUUGGUAACACUCCACUGGGAGGUGAGAUCAUCGGCGUCCACUGACAUGGCAAGUCUCUCCACUACUGACCAGACUCAUACAUUUGCCUCCUGCUUCGUGAUCCACCCUAUCAGCCCCUGUAUUGCCUUUCUGAGCGAGUGGAGCUUCUGACACGCUCCUGACACUCUGGAUCUGCAUCUCC